UACGUAGGUGGCAAGCGUUGUCCGGAAUUAUUGGGCGUAAAGCGCGCGCAGGCGGUUUCUUAAGUCUUAUGUGAAAGCCCACGGCUUAACCGUGGAGGGUCGUUGGAAACUGGAGGACUUGAGUGCAGAAGAGGAGAGCGGAAUUCCACGUGUAGCGGUGGAAUGCGUAGAGAUGUGGAGGAACACCAGUGGCGAAGGCGGCUCUCUGGUCUGUAACUGACGCUGAGGCGCGAAAGCGUGGGGAGCAAACAGG
rnacentral:rRNA from 1 species